UCUUAGGUACUGUUUCUGGUGGAUCCAAUUGAUGAGGUUGCUAUUCAAAACCUCAAGUCAUAUAAGGAAAAAAAAUUUGUUGAUAUUAGCAAGGAAGACUUGGAUCUAGGUGAUAAGAAUGAAGAAAGGGAAAAGGAGAUGAAACAGGAAUUUGGCCAAACUUGUGACAGGAUUAAGAAAUAUUUGUGGGAUAAAGUUAUAAAUGUGCAAAUUUCAAACAGACUAAGCUCUUCACCCUGUGUUCUGGUGUCAGGAAAAUUUAGUUGGUUUGCAAACAUGGAAAGGCUAAUGAAGGCACAAUCUAUGGGCGAUGCCUCUAGCUUGGAUUUCAUGAGAAGCAGAAGGGUGUUUGACAAUUGCACCAGCAGCGGC